ensembl:lncRNA
AACUAAGUGUAGUCCAAAUUAUAAUAUUCUGCUUUUUGUGGAUUUAAUGUGCUUCCAAGUAUUAUUGUUGCCUAGUUUCAAGUAAUCAUACAGAAGUUAUGUUAAGACUGUUAAAAAUGCCAAUUCCUAAUAUCUGUCCUGAUGGGAGAUGCUGAGAAGCGUCAAGCAAAAAUCGUAAUGAUAGAUGCCCAUUAGUAACACAAAUUAAUAACAGUGUAGGGGGAGGGUGAUGAUGUGCCUCUGUGCUGUUAGAAUUGCAUUAUGCCAUUUCUGUUCUGUGAAGCUUUGUGACAAAACAGGGUGCAGUGAUGCUUUUCCCUGAGGAGAGCCCAUGGACCGUCAGUCUUGUUCGUCUGUGUUUGUGACCACAUUCCACGUGAAAAAGGGUCCAGGUGACUGUAGGGUGGGAGCUGACCCAAAGAACCUCCAAAGCAAUUUUCUAAAUUAAUGCUAAAUGCCAAAGUCAAGGAGUUAUUAAAAACUGCAAAUGAGCCUUAAUUGUGAUUCUGCUAGAUUUGAAACUGGAACAGCCCUUUCUGGAGAGUGGUUGGCAGUCUUUCAGUCACAGCACUGGGGAUGGCAGGCUGCUCUUGGGCAACUCUGCUUUUCAGCUUCUACCAUAAUUCUGUAGAUAAGGAAUAAUCUUUCUGUGCUGGGCCAUAGGUCAGCCACUAUUUCAUUAGUGUGUUUUCUAGCUUUGAAGCCUGGAGCUACAGAGUUGGGCAAGCAGUUCCCUCAGGAUGCAGUCCUUGCCUCAGAAAAUGUAACAUCUGUGUUGGAAAAGAGGAGAGGGAGAGAGGGGUAGGAGAAGGGAAUAUUAUGUUAAUGAUGCAAGCAGCUGCAGUGUAAUGUAAGCACAGGCAUCUCAGCUUGCUGCUUGCUUAACAAAUAUCAAUGAUGAUAAUUUGUAGAAAGAAAAGAUAAUUUAAAAGUCAGAGUAAAUCUUCUCUGCAUAGAUUAGCAGGAACACCAGACGAGAGUAACCCUAAAAAGACAGGGUUUCAAAACAGGAUGAUUUUUGUUGUUUAAGCAGCUCUCAAAGAGAUAAUCUUUAGAAUUCAUUCAUGUUUUCAGAAAGACGCUUUGAAUAUCCCAUGUGAUGUUUCUGAGUGCAGAGUUUUAAAAAAUGAAUUAUUACGUGAUACGGGAGUACUUCUGUUUUUGACAGUAAGCAUUUACUCGUAAAUAUAAUAGGGAAGAUGUCAAUUUUGUGUGUUUGUUUUGUUAGCCUCUAUUUUGGGGAACAAAAAGCAGAUGAGAACCUGAGUGGCACAGAGUGGCAGUGAAGGACUGCCUCAUGAGCACCACCAUGAGCUGCCUUGUGCACUGAAGCAGCUUUCCCCAGCACAGCGAUGGCAGACUGACUGCUGUCUCUCUGCCUGUCCUGCUGUCAGGCUGCACACCAAGCUGCACAGUGAAGGCCAUAAACCUCAGGGCCACGCUGCAGCCUGCCAGUGAGCAAAGGCUAUGCUGCGGCCUGCCAGUGAGCGAAGGCCAUGCUGCGGCCUGCCAGUAGGCGAAGGCCACGCUGUGGCCUGAGCUGGCUUUCUGAAGUGCAGUGGUACUGAGGGGGGAUAAUGCUCUUGGCUAAGUUUUGCUUGCAAAAAGGUUGAGUGGGGAUGAAGGAGGUGCUACAGCACAAAGAUACUGCUGCCUUUGAAGGUACAGGAGCAGCCGUGUGUUGCAGAAAGGUCUCAGCUAGUUGCUGCCUAACUUUAGGUGCAUGCAUUGUGGUGCUGCAGACUUCAGUCUGUCCAUUUCUGUAGGAAAAGCAGAGUAUCCAGGCCUUUGUAGAGGUACAAACCUUUCUCCCGUUGAAUAUGUAAGAAGAUUAAGGAAAUUACUGUAGCAAAAUGGUAUAGCUAAAGCUAGGAAGAUGGGUCAUAGAUCUCUGCUGUAGUCUGGCAGGUCAGAUCAGUUCAGGCCCCAGCAAUCAUCUCUGUUCUAGGCUUUUACUGCAAGAGAAUCUUAGUCAAAACAAAUCUGGAAAAGCUCUCAAGGGUAUCACCUGUUGUUAUAACGCUUGCAAGACCAGCACAGACAUGCCAGCUUCUUUGGCAAUCAAGUAUAACAGUCACUGUGACCAGCUUGCUCUGUACUCAAGGUGAUUUAUUCGAAGGUGCACAAAGACUCGAGAAAACUUGAAGCUUCACAACUUCCUUUUAUUUUCCUAUACAGAAGUAGCUAACAGCCAGUGAGGCUUUUUCUGCCAAGACUUCUCUGCUUGAGCACAACCUUGCAUGGCUCCUUAGGCUUGCUGGCUCCUUGCCUCAGAGGAGGAUGAUGUGCUGAUGGUGUAACCAGUGGUGGUUGUGGGAUUCCCCAUCUGGCUCUCCCAGGCAAAGUAAUAGCCAAGUUGACAGGCUGCAAAAAGAAACCUGUGCCAGCACCUCUAACUUUUGUGAGCAAGGCUGAAGCGCUGGCAGAGGGGAUGCAGUGUUUAUCUCUUGAGAAUACUGUUCUGUUUCCAUGGCAGUAGACAGCUCAGUCCAGAUUUGGGCAAUCUCGUCUGCAGAGUGUUAUGAAAAAAAAGUCAGAGAGAAAAACUUGACUGCAACUGAAUGGAAGCAGUCAAAAUUAAUCAAGCUUGCAUACAAUGAGACUGGAUCUACUCUAUGAGACUGCAGACGCUGAAGAAACCUCUGCUUCCUGCAUAGCUAAGGCAUCAGAUUUAAAAUCUGCCUGCCUCAGUCACUGAGACUCUGUGUGAGACUUCUGCCACUUGCACUCCAGGGAUUUUCUUCUGACAGAUAAAUUGUAACUGCUCAUGAUGAGAGAACAAAACCAUUGCAAAACAUAAUUGUUACUCCUUGGAUCAAUAGCGGAGAAUGAGCCAUUAUUAAAAAAUCAGUGAUCAAUGAAAUGGCUGUUCCUCCGGGGAUGCCUGAAAGAUCACCAGUGCACAUGUCCCUAGAAGAUAACUUGUUACAGCAGAUCCCUUACCUUGUUGGAGUAGAUAAAGUGUGGUCUCUUAUUAAACAUUAAUGAAAUUAAUGGAGUUGGUUAGUCACAGAAAAGAGAAAAACAAAAGAUGAGGUGGGUUUCUAGUUGAGCUGUGAUGGAACAAAAUAAGUGGGUGGAGCAAUACUGGAGCUGCCUGAAAACGGUUGUGGUUCUUUUGUGUGUUUCCAUUGAUUUUGAUGUCAUCUGAAGGAGAGUUUGUUGACUUCCUCAGAUAAAUCACCCUCUUAUGCUGGUUCUAUAUCAGAUUUGAAUUGAUUUCAGGAGAAGAUCCCUUAAAAUUACCAUUAAAUGAAACAUAAAACCACUCCUAAAUUACUUUAGUAAGUGGUUCUAUUCUUUUGAAAACAUGGGCUAGCUGUUCAAUGACAGUUGGCGUAUUGAUUGAUGGUAAGUGGAGUGUGCAUUCCAAUGGGAGCUGGGUGUGAUGAAGAUCUGGAGCUGCACAACGUAGAAUGUGUCAGUCCUAGCUCAGUGGGCACGUCUCUUCCCAACACUCCUCUUUUGGAAAGAGAAACCAAAAGCCUAUUUUAACAUAUGGAAAGCUAUGGACUUUACCACUCACUCCCCACCCUACUUGUGCUGUGUGUUACUAAUCUGGUAAUGCAAUUAGCACACACCUGUGUUUCCAACAGGUGCUGUGACUUCUUAAUAGACCCCAGUCUGGAGUCCUCUACUUUUCCAUUCUCUGCAUUGUAUAACAUAAGAGGAAUUUUCCCAGUUUUUUGUUUUCCAGUGAGUGACACCCCAUUCCCCAGACCGGCACAAAGAGCUGAAGAUCUGGGAUGGUGGAAGGUGGGUGGAGCACAUCUGUGUGCGUGCACUGGCUCAUAUGGGGGACUUCUGCCUGCUCCUGUGGGACUGUUGGAGAGCGUGAAUGCUCAUCUCAUCCGAUCUUAGGUUUUUUGAUCAUUUUAUACAGGGGGACCUAUUUUCACCAAUUCUGUGGUAUUGAUCAAACCACAUUUGCAUUUCUACUGCACUGAUUAAAAAUGCAGUUGUGCUCUAGAAAUGAAAAAUGAUGACAUCUUCCUGCUGGCUCUGCUUCUAGCCUUGUGCAGUUUAAUUACCCCAUGGCUUCUAACAGUUGUAUUUUACAGACAUUUACUUAAUCCAAGACUUCUUUUUUGUCCCCAAAUUCCAAAUAGUGAUUCUGAUUUAUCACCAGUGUACUUCAGUAUAAUGUGGCUGUCACAUUGCACAAGUUCUGGAAUGAAUUAGUACAUGUAAACAGCGAGAAUGAUUAUAAAUAAUAGGGAGAAUGGAAAAAUAAGGAAAAGAAACAAGUAGAACCUUAAUGAAAUGCUAAUGAUGGCAAAUAUUUAAAAUAAUUACUUGCUUAUUUAAUCAUCAACUAAACUGAUAUAAAUUGAUCACAUUUUGGCUGUGUCGCGCUAUCUUCAUUGUAAUUCUCAAUUACAAAAUUGAUUUCUUCGUUCCCCAAUUACAACGUCAGAUGAAAAAUAAGAGAUGGCGCCCGCACCAGGGAAACUUGGAGGCUUCUGCCUUGUGUUUCACCCCAGAAGGCAGGGGGGCAGGUUAGCCCCCUCUAGUCAACUGAGCUCCUAUAUGGAGGGGCGUGGUCCAGAGCGUGGCUUUCUCCAUUAGAUCUACUUUUCUUUUCUGCCUUGUCCUUUCUCCCAUUUAUUCAGUUCAGACAGCUGCUCAUUCAAUGACUUUGCACUGCAGUACUCAAGCUUGCAAGAAGAAUGAUAGCUUCUAGUAGCUAAAAUGCUCAUUUGGCUUGUGUUUCUAAUAGCAUCUGAUGUCGCUGCUUUCUCAGUUAAAGCAAUCCCAUAGGAACCCUCCUACCCAGCGGGGAAAAUCGGUUGUGUACUGCUCACAGUCAAUCAGUUCUUCAAGGAAAGUUCACAGUCCUGAGCUACAGGAAUGUUCCCACUAAACUUCCACCUGCAAAUGUUUGACAGUUUGUGAAUAGGUUUAUUUUGCUUUGUUUGUUUGCAGACAUGUUUCAUAGUAAGUCCAACCUGGCAGGCACAUUUCUCUCGUAUGUAUGUCUGAUUUGUUUCUGCUUCUGGUGGAAAUGGUGGUGCCAAAAUUCCGUGUCCUGUGGGGGGUGAAAUGAAUUGAUAACUGUUACUUCUCCCACCUAUGUUGAAUGUUGUCUGCGUGUUCCGUGAUAUCACUUAAUAAAACGCUGGCUCUGGGAAGUCAAUGUCUGACAUAAUUUCAUCCUUCAGUGAGAAAUGUGCCACAUGCUGGAAACAAGAGAGAGCGACACAGAGGAAUGAACAGCAUUAUAUUUAGAAACAGACAUGGUAGGAUACAGACACUUUGACUUGACUGAGGGAAUGUUACGCUAUAGAAGAGACCAUUCUUGUCUUACCACUUAGAAAAAUUAUUUUUGUGGCUUAUUCUUCCCCACACAGUAAAAAAAAACCCAACACACUGUCUUUAGGAAGCGUGAAGCACAAGCUAAUUUCUCAUAACACAGGCCCUUCUCAUGGCAUCUGCGUUAUGGGGUUACGACAGUAAAACUCUGCUUGUGAGAUGCCAUCCCCGUUAGUCCCUGUAGUGGUGGCUGGUCCUUGUGGAGGAGUCCUCGUGCUGUAGCCCGACGUGGACAUGGGCUGUGGGUGGCAGUGGCAGCCCAGGGGUUGUCCCAUCGCUUACAGCCUGCCUGGUGCUCUGGCAGCUGCUGCCACCCCAUGGCUUUCCAUAAGGGGUGAAUGCUGCAGAGCUCCCAUGUGUUGCAUUUCUCCACAAACCUCUCCUAGGUCAGAGGGAAGAUGAUGAAUAUUCAUUCUGCUCUGCCCUCUCCUACGUCCCCUUUUCUCGUAAAUCCCCUCUGCAAAGAGAGGCAAGCACUUCAGGAGCACUGCUGCUCUGGCUUAGGAUGGGUGAGUGCUUUCCACCGGAUUUCCAACUCUGUAAUUGAAUAUUAAUUUUGGCUCCCAGGAGUUUUCACUGACUGACUUUAUCUGCCUUGGCAGGAAAUAUUCCAGUUUUUAUUUUUAUUUAUUUAUUUAUUUAUU